rnacentral:rRNA from 1 species
UACGGAGGGGGCUAGCGUUGUUCGGAAUUACUGGGCGUAAAGCGCGCGUAGGCGGACGUGCAAGUCGGGGGUGAAAGCCCGAGGCUCAACCUCGGAACUGCCUUCGAUACUGCGGGUCUCGAGUCCGGGAGAGGUGAGUGGAAUUCCUAGUGUAGAGGUGAAAUUCGUAGAUAUUAGGAAGAACACCAGUGGCGAAGGCGGCUCACUGGCCCGGUACUGACGCUGAGGCGCGAAAGCGUGGGGAGCAAACAGG